rnacentral:rRNA from 1 species
UGGGGGAUAUUGCACAAUGGGCGAAAGCCUGAUGCAGCGACGCCGCGUGGGGGAUGAAGGCCUUCGGGUUGUAAACUUCUUUUGCUCUGAACAAGGCGCACCAUGGGGUGUGUUGAGUGUAGGGGUUGAUUAGCGCCGGCUAACUACGUGCCAGCAGCCGCGGUAAUACGUAGGGCGCGAGCGUUGUCCGGAAUUAUUGGGCGUAAAGGGCUUGUAGGUGGCUGGUUGCGUCUGUCGUGAAAGCUCAUGGCUUAACUGUGGGUUUGCGGUGGGUACGGGCUGGCUUGAGUGCAGUAGGGGAGGCUGGAAUUCCUGGUGUAGCGGUUGAAUGCGCAGAUAUCAGGAGGAAUACCGGUGGCGAAGGCGGGUCUCUGGGCUGUUACUGACACUGAGGAGCGAAAGCAUGGGGAGCGAACAGG